rnacentral:SRP_RNA from 2 species
GCCAGGCACGGUGGCUCAUGCCUGUAAUCCCAGCACUUUGGGAGGCCGAGGUGGGUGGAUCACCUGAGGUCAGGAGUUCGAGACCAGCCUGACCAACAUGGUGAAACCCCAUCUCUA